rnacentral:rRNA from 1 species
CCCUCGCUGUAAGUGUUACAAGUGUCACACGGAACUGCCGGUCAUAAACCGGAGGAAGGUGGGGAGUGACGUCAAGUCAGCAUGGCCUUUAUAUCCUGGGCUACACACACGCUACAAUGGGAAGGGACAAUAGGUUGCGAAACCGCGAGGUGGAGCCAAUCCAGCAAAACUUCCCUCAGUUCAGAUUGCAGGCUGCAACUCGCCUGCAUGAAGUUGGAGUUGCUAGUAAACGCAGGUCAGCCAUACUGCGUUGAAUACGUUCCCGGGGCUU